UACAGAGGGGGCAAGCGUUAUUCGGAAUUAUUGGGCGUAAAGGGCGCGUAGGCGGCGAUUCAAGUGGAAGGUGAAAUCCCUCGGCUUAACCGAGGAACUGCCUCCCAAACUGCUUGGCUUGAGACCGGGAGAGGUGAGUGGAAUUCCCAGUGUAGCGGUGAAAUGCCUAGAUAUUGGGAGGAACACCAGUGGCGAAGGCGGCUCACUGGACCGGUACUGACGCUGAUGCGCGAAAGCGUGGGGAGCAAACGGG
rnacentral:rRNA from 1 species